GAAGAACAGCAAGAACUAAAAACAGAGUAAAACUGAUAACUUGACAGUAGCAUGCGACGGACAAUAAAUAAAGCUAAAGCACGAUACAGUUAAAUAUAACAACUAGAAGCUAUCAUGCUGGCAUACAACAUCAGUAACCCCCUACUACUGGAUUGGGAGGUUGGGAGGAUGCUACUACAGUUACAUCAAGACAGACACUUUAGCUCCACCUCAAAUUCAGACCUUGUUGGGCUCGAAAACAUACUUGAUCAGCGACUCCUUGAUAGAAAGGAGCUCAGGAAACUCUUUCUUCAAUUUAGAAGCAUCCAUCUCAUUGUUGCUGCGAGGUGCGACGAUAACCUUGGCCUGCUCUUCAAGCGUAAAGUUGACCCAGUUAAACUUGGGGUUGAUGUAGCUCUUAUACAUCUCUAGUAUCUCAUUGUGGCUCACAACACCGGUAUUGGUGAAGUUCCAAAUACCAGUCAAGUUCCGUUUCGCCAUCUCAACUGAAAUCGGUAGAAGCUCGUCUAAAACGGUCAUGCUGUUCGGGAUAUUCACCACCUUAUUAUAGCGAGAUAUCUUUGUUAUGAAGUUGCGAGGAUUGUUCAGAUCCGAGGAUAUCGGCAUACGAACUCUAAGAGUGCAGACGUUGUCGUAUUCCUUCAACAGCUCCUCAACCAUUGCUUUGGUUUUCGAGUAGAAUGAUCCGAUAAAGUUUGGUGUAUCUUCCUCCUUGUAACCGAUACCUGACCCUUCUGGGUGUUUCUCAUCAUACUCAAAUAUACACCCAGUGGCAUAAUUCAUCAGUAACAACCCAUGCUCGCGGCAUACAUCUGCCAGAUUCAGAGUACCAACCACAUUGGCGCGAAUCGUCUCUGGCUUGUGGGACUCGCACCAGUCAACGUUCGGCCUGCCAGUCACACCAGCAGCAUUAAAAACAUGUGUAGGCUUCACUGUCUGAAUGUCUCGAAGAAUCUGGGAGCAAUCCUCGAGUCUACCCUUUCCGUACUCAAAGGGAAUACCCUGCUUCUCGCAUAUCUUUCCAAGAAGGCCACCGAUCCAUCCAGUCUUUCCAUAAAUCAAGAAUUUCAAAGGAGAGUUGCCAGUAGUGUUCGAAGUUGGAGCCACCACAUGGGUGUUACUUUGGUUGCUUACUGCAUUUGAAACAGUUGCCUUCACUUGUUCGGGCACAUCCAUAUUUUGUUCGAUUCCGGGCAUCAUCAACAUCCUGGGAUGAGGCAGCAAUGCCCCAGAAACAUCACCCCACCAAUUAGGAUUGCUCGUAUACCAUUCCAUCGUCUUUUUCAGACCCUCCUCCCACGUGGUUCGCUCGGCCCAACCCAAGUUCUUCAGCUUCUGGUCAUCCAAGAAGUACCUCUGGUCAUUGAAGGGCCGGUUGUCAACAAACUUGAUAACUGAUUCAGGGUUCAAGGAAAAGAGCUUGCAGAUAUCCCUCGCCACGUCAUUCACCCUCCUCUCUUUCUUCGUCCCGAUGUUGUAAACAUGUCCGACUUCUCCUCUGUGAAGAACAACCUCGAAAGCCUCUGCUACAUCCUCGCAGUAGAGAUAGCUCCUAACAUUCGUACCAUCCCCAUGGAUGGGAAGGGGCUUCCCUCUCAUGGCCAGGAGGAUGAACUUGGGGAUAAGUUUCUCGGGGAACUGAUUAGGCCCGUAGACGUUGUUACCCCGAGUAGUUAUAACAGGUAGACCGUAUGACCUCCCGUACGCCAUGACAAGCAUUUCAGCACCAGCUUUGGUAGCGGAGUACGGAUUCGUGGGGAGUAGCUGGGAUGCCUCGUGGUUACCCACCACAGCAUCCUCGUCAGUCUCGCCAUAGACCUCAUCAGUACUGACAUGAAUGAACCUCUUGAUCUGACCACCCGUGACCUUGCAAGCCUCAAGGAGGACAUGGGUUCCAUAGAUGUUGUUCUUGGUGAACUCGAAGGAGUUACCAAAGGAGUUGUCGACAUGG
rnacentral:misc_RNA from 1 species